CAGCACACAUACAUCUGCCCGAUGUCGGUUUCAGAUCAGCAUGGAAUCCUCCCAUAUAAUAAUGUCGCAGGGGUAUCGGCCUGAAGUCGCUUCCAUCAGGCAGCCAGGCACGUCAGAUCAGCCUCCUGGAGCAGCGAUUUUCAGGAGAAGAACCUGAUUUUUGGGGGAACAUUUUCUAACAGCAUUUUUUCAUCAUUCAGAC